GGGCACGUUGGGGGGCAGCCCGCUGAGCUCCAGUGCCGCCCCCACCUCUGCCUCUGCUUCCUUCAUCACAACCCUGGGCCAGACAGGAAGCAGGUGACCAGGCCUCGAUUUCCCGGAGUGCUGAGAGAGAGCAGCUCCCAUCCUUAACCUGUAAGUGUUUCCCAUCACAGCCUUCCUCCCACCUCCUCCCCGCCCUUCCCAUGGCUCUCUCUCCCAGCUGUGCACCUGCCCAGUCUCCCCGUCUUAUAGCAUCACUGUCAUCAUUGUUGUCACCAUGGCUAACCCCAGAAGGUGCAGGCACUGUGACUGGCUGCAGCAAAUCCUCAUCACAGAAGGGGACGCGGAGGUGCAGAUGCCACGGCAGGGCGGAGCUUAUACCCAGGCUCCACCUUUAGAGCCCCCCCCCCACUGCCCACGUCCAUCUGCUUCCAACCUUUCAAAGACCUGUGCCCACCACGAGCUUCACCUCCCACCUUCCAGGUACGCCUCAGCCCACUGAAGCCCGGCCUCCACCCCAUGCUGCCCCUCCAGGGAGCUGAGGACCUGCCCAGGCUGCACCCCCAGCUGCACACCUGCAACUCUGGCUGCCCCCACCCUGGUCUGAGCCUCCAUCAUCUCUCACCUGGAUCACUACACUAAGCUCCUAACUAACCUGCCACUCCCACCCACCUCUACUGCUUCUCCUCAACAGAGUGGGCCGAGUGGGCCCAGUAAAGUGGCACCAACAGCGGUUACAUCUUGGGCCCAUGAGCCCUAAUGCAUCCCUGCCCGCUCUGUAUUUUCUCUUCCCACGAAACUCACCUGCUAUUACUUGGUACGACUGGCUUACCAUGUGG